rnacentral:rRNA from 1 species
GAUGAACGCUAGCGGCAGGCCUAACACAUGCAAGUCGAGGGGCAUCAUGGCGUAGCAAUACGCUGAUGGCGACCGGCGCACGGGUGCGUAACGCGUAUGGAACCUACCCACCGCAGGGGGAUAACCCGCCGAAAGGCGGACUAAUACCCCAUGGUUCCCCGACCCUGCCUGGGGUUGGGGGUAAAGCCUACGGGCGGCGGUGGAUGGCCCUGCGUGCCAUUAGCUGGCUGGUGGGGUAACGGCCCACCAGGGCGACGAUGGCUAGGGGGUCUGAGAGGACGAUCCCCCACACUGGUACUGAGACACGGACCAGACUCCUACGGGAGGCAGCAGUGAGGAAUAUUGGUCAAUGGGCGCGAGCCUGGACCAGCCACGUCGCGUGAAGGAUGACGGCCUUAUGGGUUGUAAACUUCUUUUACAGGGGAAUAAAGUGAGUCACGUGUGUAUUUUUGUCAUGUUACCCUGUGAAUAAGCAUCGGCUAACUCCGUGCCAGCAGCCGCGGUAACUGU